rnacentral:rRNA from 1 species
UGGGGGAUAUUGCACAAUGGGCGAAAGCCUGAUGCAGCGACGCCGCGGGGGGGAUGAAGGCCGUCGGGUUGUAAACUUCUUUAGGAAUGAACAAGGCAUGCUAAUGGGGGUGUGGAGGGUAGGGGUCGAUUAGCGCGGGCUAACUACGUGCAAGCAGCCGCGGUAAUACGUAGGGAGCGAGCGUUGUCCGGAAGUAUUGGGCGUAAAGGGCGUGUAGGGUGCUGGUGGCGUAUGACGUGAAAGCUCAUGGCUUAACUGUGGGUUUGCGGUGGGUACGGGCUUGGUUGAGUGCAGUAGGGGAGGCUGGAAUUCCUUGUGUAGCGUUGGAAUGCGCAUAUAUCAGGAGGAAUACCGGUGGCGAAGGCGGGUCUCUGGGCUGUUCCUUACACUGAGGAGCGAAAGCAUGGGGAGCGAACAGG